rnacentral:misc_RNA from 1 species
GAUGAAGAACGUAGCGAAAUGCGAUAAGUAGUGUGAAUUGCAGAAUUCAGUGAAUCAUCGAAUCUUUGAACGCGCAUUGCGCCCCUUGGUAUUCCAUGGGGCAUGCCUGUUCGAGCGUCAUUUGUACCUUCAAGCUUUGCUUGGUGUUGGGUGUUUGUCCCGAGGGACUCGCCUUAAAGUAAUUGGCAGCCAGUGUUUGGUUUUGAAGCGCAGCACAAGUCGCGAUUCAAGGCUACACGCCCGCUUCCACAAGCCUUUUUUCACUUUUGACCUCGGAUCAGGUAGGGAUACCCGCUGAACUUAAGCAUAUCAAUAAGCGGAGGA